UUGGCCCAAAAGUUUGUUCGGAUUUUUUAGAGAUGUAACAUAAAGACCUGAAUGAACUUUUGGGUCAA
ensembl:miRNA